UGGGGAAUAUUGGACAAUGGGCGCAAGCCUGAUCCAGCCAUGCCGCGUGAGUGAUGAAGGCCCUAGGGUUGUAAAGCUCUUUCACCGGUGAAGAUAAUGACGGUAACCGGAGAAGAAGCCCCGGCUAACUUCGUGCCAGCAGCCGCGGUAAUACGAAGGGGGCUAGCGUUGUUCGGAUUUACUGGGCGUAAAGCGCACGUAGGCGGACUUUUAAGUCAGGGGUGAAAUCCCGGGGCUCAACCCCGGAACUGCCUUUGAUACUGGAAGUCUUGAGUAUGGUAGAGGUGAGUGGAAUUCCGAGUGUAGAGGUGAAAGUCGUAGAUAUUCGGAGGAACACCAGUGGCGAAGGCGGCCCACUGGACCAUUACUGACGCUGAGGUGCGAAAGCGUGGGGAGCAAACAGG
rnacentral:rRNA from 1 species